rnacentral:tRNA from 1 species
UGGGGAUAUAGCUCAGUGGUAGAGUGGUUGCCAAACAUGCACAAGGCUCUGGGUUCAAUCCCCAGAGAUGCACAA